CCUCUUUGGGGAGUAGCCUGCUUCCACCACGGUGGAAAGCGUCCUGAUCAACAUACUCGGCAACCGCCGUGGUCAGGACAGCCAGUCAGGGUUGGCGAGACCAGGGGCAUCACCGCGCCGUGCCGGGCGUGCGGGGAUGUCUUGUGGAUCCGAGCCCGGCCGGCGCU
rnacentral:sRNA from 1 species